UGGGGAAUUUUGGACAAUGGGGGCAACCCUGAUCCAGCAAUGCCGCGUGUGUGAAGAAGGCCUUCGGGUUGUAAAGCACUUUUGUCCGGAAAGAAAACGCCGUGGUUAAUACCCGUGGCGGAUGACGGUACCGGAAGAAUAAGCACCGGCUAACUACGUGCCAGCAGCCGCGGUAAUACGUAGGGUGCAAGCGUUAAUCGGAAUUACUGGGCGUAAAGCGUGCGCAGGCGGUCCGCUAAGACAGAUGUGAAAUCCCCGGGCUUAACCUGGGAACUGCAUUUGUGACUGGCGGGCUAGAGUAUGGCAGAGGGGGGUAGAAUUCCACGUGUAGCAGUGAAAUGCGUAGAGAUGUGGAGGAAUACCGAUGGCGAAGGCAGCCCCCUGGGCCAAUACUGACGCUCAUGCACGAAAGCGUGGGGAGCAAACAGGAUUAGAUACCCUGGUAGUCCACGCCCUAAACGAUGUCAACUAGUUGUCGGGUCUUCAUUGACUUGGUACGUGCUAACGCGUGAAGUUGACCGCCUGGGAGUACGGUCGCAAGAUUAAAAACU
rnacentral:rRNA from 1 species